AUUCUUUAAGAUAAUUCUCUCCGUUGCCGCGGUGAUUCGAAUGCCGGCGUAGAGAUUCUUCUUCGACGGUGAGAGGAGGCGGGGAAGAGGUGUCGUGGCUGGUUCUUCGGGCUAUGGUAAUUUUGUCAUCAGGUGAGGUGUUGGGGGCUUAGUUGAUUGGUGACUAGGGAGUGAAUAACCUGUUGCUGAGAUUGGGUUUUCAACCGGAUUUGUGUCGCGCGUAUCAUAUGCUGAUGAAAAGGGGGUGUUUAAAGAGGGGAAUGUUGUGGUGUUUAUGUACAAUGAUUUGGCGAACAAUCCAAUCAAUCCAAGGCCCGGUGUCAUCAUCAACCACCCGAGGGCAAGGAAGUUUUUGCCGGGGAUUUUUUUAUAAUUCCGAAUCAAUUGUGUUAGUCUAAGCUUGAAAGUCAUAAUUUAAAGCUGGAAACAAUGGAGAAGCAGUACUAAACAGGAAGCUGUCAUCACAAAAUGCAUCACAAUUUGAAUUCCCUCUUGAGUUUUCUAAUGUAAUAGAUUAUGAUUCACUUUCUUCCUAUGACAGGUGAAGGCAAGGACAUUGAAUUUUAGAAUUUUUAAUGUUGGAUCAAAUGUGAUGGAGUAUGGGACCAAAAGCAUCAAAGCUGAGAAGCUGUAUUUGUACAAGAAAUUUGAUCCUUUAAAUGCUAUUAUCAGAGACAAUAAUCUUCCACAAACUGAUUUUACGUCAGUGGUGAUAAACCAGAGAGAUGGUCUCCUUUUCAUGUAGAACAUGUUUGGCAAAACAUGAAAGUGCAAAGUCUUUCCUGCUUAACGAAUCGAAUCCUUGCCCAGUGCCCGGGGAAAGAGGGGCUUUUUGUUUGAUCGCUGCGGAUAGGUGCAGUUCAGACUUCCUACUUCUUAGACAUGGGUGCUCCACACCCAUGAACCACCCGCUCUUCGCUUACCCAAACUCAAAACAGCAGCACAUUACUCAAGACAACGGAAGCUACUCUUUCCGGGCGAAUUCCUUUCAUGAUCUAAGGGAAGACGCAAGAGCAAGAGCAGAUCCCUAUCUUCAACCGGAAGCAAAAUACUAAUGGGGUCACCCUUGGGAAGAAACCGAGAAAGUCUAGAAACCCGGUAAAACAGCGAAAUUUGCUCCAGCCUAGCCUUGAGGUUGAUCUUCAUGACGAUUAGUAUGCCUUGGAGAUUUGGAGUUGUACUGCUAAGUUACUGUGGUCUAAUAUGCCCCGGAGCGGCUGCUUUUCCAUCAGGGACUAUUUUGUGGAUUAAUCUCAGCUUACCAAUCUUCUUUUUAAAAUACUUUCUGCUAUAAUCUGUUGGUUCAUCUGAAUGGCUAGAAACAACAUGAAGCAGGCUAACCAAUGGGAGAAUUCUAGUUCAACUUUUUGUCAUACACCUACUCAUCUUCAAAAGGUGAUCAUUUAUGGUGGGAUCAAGGACAUAUUUCUGGCUGUUCUAAAUUUUUGGUCCAAGACCAUCAUUAGACCUGUUCAGACUUUAAGGCAGCUAACACAGCUGGUUUUUUGGAAGAAACAUGAGCUCAAUUGGAUCAAAAUCAAUAUUGAUGAUAGUUUUUCUGAUACGGUUGUUGGGAUUGGGAUGGUCUUCGGAGAUCAUAAUGGCAUAGCUUUUCUCAUGCUCUCAGCUCCCAUUGUCGUUGUCUCUCCUUUGCAGGCUGAGGCUGAGGCUGUCCUGGCUGCUCUUAGGAUUGUCUUCUCUUUGGAUUGGAGCAAACUUCUUGUUGAGCUGGACUCUAUGAUUCUCUGGAAACGCAGCUCUUCUUUGACCUCUUCACAUUGGCAUAUUUAAUCUCCAGCUCAAGCAAAUUGGGCAGCUCUCUGAUUUUAUGAAUACACAGUGGACUUAUAUUCCUAGGGAGGGUGAAAGGCCAACAGAUUGGCUAGCCAAAGAAGGUGCUUAAUCUCAAAUAGUUUUCUUAGUUAAGUUUCCUCCUACAGCCUUGCAUCUUUUGCUCAAGGGAGAUAUGUUAGACCCCCUUCUUUAGUUGUGACUUUUGAAUUUCAAUGGAAUAUUUUACCUUAAAAAAGGA